rnacentral:snoRNA from 1 species
AAGAUCAUCUUUUUAGGAUCAAUUCUAUAGUGAAAUUGCCGGGUUUCUCGCCAAGAUUCUCGGAAUAUAUUCAACCACGAUGAGGACUUUCAGUGUGAUCCUUGAGCGGGAAACGGUCCUUACGUAUUCGUAAGAGCUUUGAUGACCGUUCGGGCUCGGUAUCCCGUGUCUAGAGGAGGUUCACGCAGACUGAGUGGU